GGGGUUGUGGCUCAGUGGUAGAGUGCACGCCUUGCAUGUGAGAGGCACUGGGUUCGAUUCUCAGCACCACA
rnacentral:tRNA from 1 species